rnacentral:rRNA from 1 species
UACGUAGGGCGCAAGCGUUAUCCGGAAUUAUUGGGCGUAAAGAGCUCGUAGGCGGUUUGUCGCGUCGGAUGUGAAAACCCAGGGCUCAACCCUGGGCCUGCAUUCGAUACGGGCAGACUAGAGUUCGGUAGGGGAGACUGGAAUUCCUGGUGUAGCGGUGAAAUGCGCGAAUAUCAGGAGGAACACCGGUGGCGAAGGCGG